rnacentral:lncRNA from 1 species
CGCAACUGAAAAUAGAACUACAACUAUGACAGACACUACAUCUGAUGGAACUUAAUUAAAAAAAUAAAAAUCUAAGGGAUAGAAAUAGGUAUAGUGGGUUUUGAGGCACAAUAAAAUACACAUUUGCAGGUUCUUACACCACGUUCAUUAAUUAUACAAGUUCCUUCAGUAACAGCACGUCCUGUUACUGAAGCAUCCAUCUCUUGCUCCUAUAUCAACUCUGCAUGUCUUGAUUCCAUACACAUCUGCAUCCACAAAAUUAAAAUAAGUUUUACAUCUUUGAAUGCAAAAACAAGAGAAAAAUAAAUAAAAAAAGUUUAGUCAUUUUGUGAAUUAGCCAAUAUAUAAAUAUCGCCACAUGAACAAAGGAUUAAUGUGUUAGAUUUAAUAAAUGGUAGUUUCUAAGCGACUUAACGAAAAUUAUAGACAUGCAUCUAGUAGUUAGAGGUUACAAUUUUAACUAUAGCUACAGUCAAAUCUCUCAAUAACAACAUCAUUUGCUUUGAUAUUUUUUGGUUACUAUAGCAAAAUAUUGUUAUAGAGAAUACGUAAUAUAAGGCAACAUGAAAAUCGGUUCCAAAAUAUAUUCGGUCAUUAUAGUGAAAUGUUAAUGACUGUUAUAGAAAGGUUUAACUGUAUAUGAUUUAUAUCACAUGUUGGUUUAUUGGAUUCCAAUCUCCUUUAUAACUAUGUAAAAGAAAUCGAGUAUAAGAAAAGAUUAGAUCUGACAGAAAACUCUACUUUAGGUAAAAGGAAAAAAAUUAAUGUAAAACCUGAUACAACAGCAAAAAGGAUGAUUAGAAUUGCCAGUGAUUUCAAGGACUUUUCC